ACCAGGGAGGGUCAUUGGAAACUGGAGAACUUGAGUGCAGAAGAGGAAAGUGGAAUUCCAUGUGUAGCGGUGAAAUGCGUAGAUAUAUGGAGGAACACCAGUGGCGAAGGCGACUUUCUGGUCUGUAACUGACGCUGAGGCUCGAAAGCAUGGGGAGCAAACAGGAUUAGAUACCCUGGUAGUCCAUGCCGUAAACGAUGAGUGCUAAGUGUUGGAGGGUUUCCGCCCUUCAGUGCUGCAGCUAACGCAUUAAGCACUCCGCCUGGGGAGUACGACCGCAAGGUUGAAACUCAAAGGAAUUGACGGGGGCCCGCACAAGCGGUGGAGCAUGUGGGUUUAAUUCGAAGCAACGCGAAGAACCUUACCAGGUCUUGACAUCCUUUGACCACUCUAGAGAUAGAGCUUUCCCUUCGGGGACAAAGUGACAGGUGGUUGCAUGGAUUGUCGUCAGCUCGUGUCGUGAGAUGUUGGGUUAAGUUCCCGCAACGAGCGCAACCCUUAUUAUUAGUUGCAGCAUUCAGUGGGCACCUCUAGUGAGACUGCCGUGAUAAACCGGAGGAAGGUGGGGGAUGACGUUCAAAUUCAUC
rnacentral:rRNA from 1 species